rnacentral:rRNA from 1 species
GAUCCGGCUCAGGAUGAACGCUAGCUACAGGCUUAACACAUGCAAGUCGAGGGGAAACGACAUCGAAAGCUUGCUUUUGAUGGGCGUCGACCGGCGCACGGGUGAGUAACGCGUAUCCAACCUGCCCACCACUUGGGGAUAACCUUGCGAAAGUAAGACUAAUACCCAAUGACAUCCCACGAAGACAUCUGAAUGGGAUUAAAGAUUUAUCGGUGAUGGAUGGGGAUGCGUCUGAUUAGCUUGG